UAACCUUGUAACCGCUGGGAUUGGCUGGCGGGAAUCCACCGUUCGACCGUAAUCGGGCGUGACCAAGGGAA
rnacentral:ncRNA from 1 species